UACGUAGGGUGCAAGCGUUGUCCGGAAUUAUUGGGCGUAAAGAGCUCGUAGACGGUUUGUCGCGUCGAAUGUGAAAACCCGGGGCUCAACCCCGGGCCUGCAUUCGAUACGGGCAGACUAGAGUUCGGUAGGGGAGUCUGGAAUUCCUGGUGUAGCGGUGAAAUGCGCAGAUAUCAGGAGGAACACCGGUGGCGAAGGCGGGACUCUGGGCCGAUACUGACGCUGAGGAGCGAAAGCGUGGGGAGGCGAACAGG
rnacentral:rRNA from 1 species